UAGGGAAUCUUCGGCAAUGGACGAAAGUCUGACCGAGCAACGCCGCGUGAGUGAAGAAGGUUUUCGGAUCGUAAAACUCUGUUGUUAGAGAAGAACAAGGACGUUAGUAACUGAACGUCCCCUGACGGUAUCUAACCAGAAAGCCACGGCUAACUACGUGCCAGCAGCCGCGGUAAUACGUAGGUGGCAAGCGUUGUCCGGAUUUAUUGGGCGUAAAGCGAGCGCAGGCGGUUUCUUAAGUCUGAUGUGAAAGCCCCCGGCUCAACCGGGGAGGGUCAUUGGAAACUGGGAGACUUGAGUGUAGAAGAGGAGGGUGGAAUUCCAAGUGUAGCGGUGAAAUGCGUAGAUAUAUGGAGGAACACCAGUGGCGAAGGCGGCUCUCUGGUCUGUAACUGACGCUGAGGCUCGAAAGCGUGGGGAGCAAACAGG
rnacentral:rRNA from 1 species